GUGCUCGCUUUGGCAGCACAUAUACUAAAAUUGAAAUGAUACAGAGGAAAUGAGCAUGGCCCCUGAGCAAGGAUGAGACAUAAAUUUGUGACGCGUUCCACAUUAAA
rnacentral:snRNA from 1 species